CUUGGCCAAGGGGUAAGGCGCGGCACUUGUAAUGCCGAGAUCGGGGGUUCAAAUCCCUCAGUGA
rnacentral:tRNA from 1 species